GAUGAACGCUGGCGGCGUGCCUAAUACAUGCAAGUCGAGCGAACAGACGAGGAGCUUGCUCCUCUGACGUUAGCGGCGGACGGGUGAGUAACACGUGGAUAACCUGCCUAUAAGACUGGGAUAACUUCGGGAAACCGGAGCUAAUACCGGAUAAUAUAUUGAACCGCAUGGUUCAAUAGUGAAAGACGGUUUUGCUGUCACUUAUAGAUGGAUCCGCGCCGCAUUAGCUAGUUGGUAAGGUAACGGCUUACCAAGGCAACGAUGCGUAGCCGACCUGAGAGGGUGAUCGGCCACACUGGAACUGAGACACGGUCCAGACUCCUACGGGAGGCAGCAGUAGGGAAUCUUCCGCAAUGGGCGAAAGCCUGACGGAGCAACGCCGCGUGAGUGAUGAAGGUCUUCGGAUCGUAAAACUCUGUUAUUAGGGAAGAACAAAUGUGUAAGUAACUAUGCACGUCUUGACGGUACCUAAUCAGAAAGCCAUGGCUAACUACGUG
rnacentral:rRNA from 1 species